rnacentral:rRNA from 1 species
UACGAGGGGGGCAAGCGUUGUUCGGAAUUAUUGGGCGUAAAGGGCGCGUAGGCGGUUUUUCAAGUCAGAUGUGAAAUAUCCGGGCUUAACCCGGAGGGGUCAUUUGAAACUGAGAGACUAGAGUACAGCAGAGGAUAGCGGAAUUCCCGGUGUAGUGGUGAAAUGCGUAGAUAUCGGGAGGAACACCAGUGGCGAAGGCGGCUAUCUGGGCUGAAACUGACGCUGAGGCGCGAAGGCUAGGGGAGCAAACAGG